rnacentral:rRNA from 1 species
AGAGUUUGAUCAUGGCUCAGAUUGAACGCUGGCGGCAGGCCUAACACAUGCAAGUCGAACGGUAACAGAAAGCAGCUUGCUGCUUUGCUGACGAGUGGCGGACGGGUGAGUAAUGUCUGGGAAACUGCCUGAUGGAGGGGGAUAACUACUGGAAACGGUGGCUAAUACCGCAUAACGUCGCAAGACCAAAGAGGGGGACCUUCGGGCCUCUUGCCAUCAGAUGUGCCCAGAUGGGAUUAGCUAGUUGGUGAGGUAACGGCUCACCAAGGCGACGAUCCCUAGCUGGUCUGAGAGGAUGACCAGCCACACUGGAACUGAGACACGGUCCAGACUCCUACGGGAGGCAGCAGUGGGGAAUAUUGCACAAUGGGCGCAAGCCUGAUGCAGCCAUGCCGCGUGUAUGAAGAAGGCCUUCGGGUUGUAAAGUACUUUCAGCGGGGAGGAAGGUGUUGUGGUUAAUAACCGCAGCAAUUGACGUUACCCGCAGAAGAAGCACCGGCUAACUCCGUGCCAGCAGCCGCGGUAAUACGGAGGGUGCAAGCGUUAAUCGGAAUUACUGGGCGUAAAGCGCACGCAGGCGGUCUGUCAAGUCGGAUGUGAAAUCCCCGGGCUCAACCUGGGAACUGCAUUCGAAACUGGCAGGCUUGAGUCUUGUAGAGGGGGGUAGAAUUCCAGGUGUAGCGGUGAAAUGCGUAGAGAUCUGGAGGAAUACCGGUGGCGAAGGCGGCCCCCUGGACAAAGACUGACGCUCAGGUGCGAAAGCGUGGGGAGCAAACAGGAUUAGAUACCCUGGUAGUCCACGCCGUAAACGAUGUCUACUUGGAGGUUGUGCCCUUGAGGCGUGGCUUCCGGAGCUAACGCGUUAAGUAGACCGCCUGGGGAGUACGGCCGCAAGGUUAAAACUCAAAUGAAUUGACGGGGGCCCGCACAAGCGGUGGAGCAUGUGGUUUAAUUCGAUGCAACGCGAAGAACCUUACCUGGUCUUGACAUCCACGGAAGUUUUCAGAGAUGAGAAUGUGCCUUCGGGAACCGUGAGACAGGUGCUGCAUGGCUGUCGUCAGCUCGUGUUGUGAAAUGUUGGGUUAAGUCCCGCAACGAGCGCAACCCUUAUCCUUUGUUGCCAGCGGUCCGGCCGGGAACUCAAAGGAGACUGCCAGUGAUAAACUGGAGGAAGGUGGGGAUGACGUCAAGUCAUCAUGGCCCUUACGACCAGGGCUACACACGUGCUACAAUGGCGCAUACAAAGAGAAGCGACCUCGCGAGAGCAAGCGGACCUCAUAAAGUGCGUCGUAGUCCGGAUUGGAGUCUGCAACUCGACUCCAUGAAGUCGGAAUCGCUAGUAAUCGUGGAUCAGAAUGCCACGGUGAAUACGUUCCCGGGCCUUGUACACACCGCCCGUCACACCAUGGGAGUGGGUUGCAAAAGAAGUAGGUAGCUUAACCUUCGGGAGGGCGCUUACCACUUUGUGAUUCAUGACUGGGGUGAAGUCGUAACAAGGUAACCGUAGGGGAACCUGCGGUUGGAUUCACC